rnacentral:tRNA from 1 species
GCGCCUUAUCGGACAGUCUCUUACCAGCCUCUAGGUCGCAGGUUCGAGUCCUGCCGGGCGCACCA